GUGCUCCUGGCCCCGGCUCGAUUUCAUCUUUGUGCAGAGCGCCUCGCACCUUCUGUUAGGUAGCGCCGCAUCUCCUGCCUUCAGCCCGCCGGCGGCGCCUAUCCUUUCCCAUGGCUGCCCGCAUCAUGUCUCCCCGAUUAGCUUGCCGGAGCGGCCUCUUCCCCGAACCCGUUGACUUGGGGAUCUUCUCAGGCCAUCCCCUUGAAGCAACAUUGCUGCUACUCUAGGAUUUUAUCAGGCCGUUCCCAGUUCGUCCAGGAUGUGACUCUGAGAUUGCUGCUCUGGAAGGAGAAGACACAAGUACUGAAACCGCUGGAGAUAGAACCACUUAGUGUUGUGUUUUUCUUGAACCUGAUGCAUUUUCAGUAUUUAUUCAGCGAUUCUUGAAGACAAGGCGUGUGGAAAGCCCAAUUGGUUGCACUAGCGGCAAAUAUCCUCUGUCAUUGUAGUAUAGAUGCCUCUCCAAUUAUCCUUAGCAAUCAGUUUAUGAUGUAAAUGCAGAGAGAUUUUGUGUAUUGGGAGGAUUGAAAUAUUGAUAGGUGAUAUGUGAUGUAUUAAACAGUGAUAUCAUUCUAAAAUAAAUAUGAAUUUUUGACAUUUA